CAGUAUGUAAACCAACAUAACAGAUAGUGUGUGGAAGAUGCUGUCACUGCAUUACUGGGUCAUUGUUCCUUUGUUGGUGAUCAUAUUAAAAGGUGUCAGCUGUCAAGAACUGACCGCAGUGAAGAAUGAAGAGUCCAAUUUAAAAGGCAGCACUGUCACUUUGACCUACAAAUACUCCAGCACUAUCGUUGCUUCUGAUGAUUUCUUCUGGUAUCAACAACAUCCAGGAAAACCUCCAGAGUUCCUCCUGUAUCUGUCAGGUUUGAACAGUUCAAGAGCAGCAGAGUCUCUGAAAUCAUUAGCAAGGUUCUCCACGAUACUAUUUGGAGAAAAACGUCUGGAUAUGAAGAUCUCCUCUGCUGCAGUGACAGACUCUGCUGUGUACUACUGUGCUGUGAGG